rnacentral:rRNA from 1 species
UACGUAGGUGGCAAGCGUUGUCCGGAAUUAUUGGGCGUAAAGCGCGCGUAGGCGGUUUGGUAAGCCGGGUGUGAAACCCUCGAGCUCAACUCGGGGCGGCCACUCGGAACUGUCAUGACUUGAGUCAGGUAGGGGAACACGGAAUUCCAGGUGUAGCGGUGAAAUGCUUAGAUAUCUGGAGGAACACCAGUGGCGAAGGCGGUGUUCUGGGCCUGUACUGACGCUGAUGCGCGAAAGCGUGGGGAGCGAACAGG